ensembl:lncRNA
ACACACGCACGCACACAGACACACACACCGAACGAUGCCUACACACACCACUGGUGGGACGCACACAGACACACACCGAACGAUGCCUGGUGGUUUGAGCCUUCCACAGUGUAGCGGCGGCGGCUACAGGAGCUAACUCAUGGGCUCGCACACACAACUCCCCGAUUGUAACACAAGACACUUUGAAUGUAGUACAUGCUGUGUUACGAGCCUUCGGGGGGGGUCUACAUACCCCCCUCCUGCCCAUACACCCCCACCAACAAAAACAUCGACCACACAUCUAGCGACUGGCCCAACACCCGGAGACACAGCAGCGUUCCAUAGCACAGGACUCCCCUGGUUUGAGUAACGAUGUCCAGGUUAAUAGUAGUGUACAUAGUGUAAUAAAUAAAGAGGUAUUUCAACUAAAUGGGGAGCGCUGAUGAGAGAUUUAAGUUAAAAUAACUUAUGUUGUUUGUACUGUACAUACUUUGUGUUUUGAGUGAAUUCCUUAUACAACGAAAGCACUAAAUUAAGUUAUAUUUUGAACAUGCUUUGGCCUUGAUUGAAGCUUCUUGUGAGAUCGAUGCCACUACAAGACAAGACAUUUUCUAAUGCUGUAAUUCUGAGAAUUUUAAUAUAAAUCUUUAAUUAAUACUAAUAGUUCAUUUUUGCUACUUGGUUACAACACAAAUGGCAUCUAUGCAAUAUGAAAUCUUUUGGAAAGUUAGUUUACAAAAAGGUACCAAAAUGUAUAUAUAUUCUAUAUGUUAAUAAUGUUUGUUAUACCUUAAAACCCAAUUUAUUGCUUUUUGUAUAUUUCUUUCUGCCAAUUUGACUCGGAGAGUCGACCCUGUGUGUGUUUGCUAAGGAGGCUCGGAGCGUUCUGAGCCGAGCUUUGGAUAACUUUUCAACCAAGUUUUUAUUGCUCGCCCUGAGGUCUCGACCAAUGGCUGACCUGGGCGUCCUGAAGUGUCGGCCAAUGGCUGACCGGCGCCCUGAGGUGGCGGCCAAUGGCUGAACGGGCGGUUCUCGCUGUGUCUUCCGUUGUCCAAACGUCCGCCGGCUUAUCGUGCUUCUACUAAGAGCUGAUCAUUUAAAACAAAAUGGACUCCAUUGCUUUCGACUGUAUUGAUUCUUUAUAGACACAUGCAAUAAACAACAGCGUUGUUUAAGGAAAC